rnacentral:rRNA from 1 species
UUCUUUUAGUAUUAAUUAAAAGUAAAUUCUGCUCAAUGAUGUUUAAAUAGCUGCAUUUUUGUACUAAGGUAGCAUAAUCAAUUGUCUAUUAAUUGUGGACUGGAAUGAACGAAUAUAUAAUUAUAUAUUUUGUUAAAUUUAUAAAUUGAAUUUAAAAUUUAAAUUAUAAUGUUUAAAUAAUUUUUAGGGACAAGAAGACCCUAUAAAGCUUUGUAUAUAGAAAUAUAUUUAUAGUAAUUAAUGUAUUUUAUAUUUAAUUGGGGCAAUUUUUUAUGAUUAUAUAUUAUAAAGUGAAGUGUAAAAUUUAUAUUUAUUAAAAGUGAUCCAUUAAUAAUGAUUUUAUGAAUAAGUUACUUUAGGGAUAACAGUAUGAUUUUUGUUUUAUAGUUCAAAUAUUUAAUAAAGGUUAUAACCUCGAUGUUGAAUUAAUAUAAUAUGAUGGUGAAGAAGCUAUUAUUAUUAGACUGUUCGUCUAUUAAAUUAUUACA